rnacentral:rRNA from 1 species
AGCUCCAAUAGCGUAUAUUAAAGUUGUUGCAGUUAAAAAGCUCGUAGUUGAAUUUCUGUCAGGAGCGACCGGGCCUUUGGAUGAACUUCCAUUGUUUUUUGCUCUGUUUGUCGUCUCUAGACAUCCUAGAUUACAUUUAUUGUAAUCUUCUUUUACUGUUAGCAAAAUAGAGUGUUCCAAGCAAAGCGUAGUUUUGAAUACAUUAGAAUGGAAUAAUAAGAUAGGACUUUGGUGCUAUUUUGUUGGUUUGCACACCAAGGUAAUGAUUAAUAGGGACAGUUGGGGGUAUUCGUAUUUAAUUGUCAGAGGUGAAAUUCUUGGAUUUAUGAAAGACGAACUACUGCGAAAGCAUUUACCAAGGAUGUUU